rnacentral:rRNA from 1 species
CCUACGGGGGGCAGCAGUGGGGGAUAUUGCACAAUGGGGGAAACCCUGAUGCAGCGACGCCGCGUGAGCGAUGAAGUAUUUCGGUAUGUAAAGCUCUAUCAGCAGGGAAGAAAAUGACGGUACCUGACUAAGAAGCCCCGGCUAACUACGUGCCAGCAGCCGCGGUAAUACGUAGGGGGCAAGCGUUAUCCGGAUUUACUGGGUGUAAAGGGAGCGUAGACGGCAGUGCAAGUCUGAAGUGAAAGGCAAGGGCUCAACCCGCGGACGGCACAUGAUACUGCGAGACUAGAGUAAUGGAGGGGGAA